rnacentral:lncRNA from 1 species
GUCUGCAUGUCUGGGACCUUUCCAAUUGUCCUAAAGAGGAACUCUACCUAGUUCGCUCCAAACAAGCUCAUUUAAAUGCACCUUAUGGUUAAGUCUAAGCUACAGUGAGCUUCAAAAGUAUUGGUAGAGUGAUACCAUUUUUUGGGGGGUUUGAAAUGAUACAAUGAUUAUGAGGUUAAAAUGCGGACGGUGAGUUUUAAUUUCAGGGUUAUUUUUUCAUCCGUAUCGGGUGAACCGUUUUAGAAAUAACAGCACUUCUUGUACAUAGUCCCCCUCCCCAUUUUAUGGGACCCGCAAGUAUUGUGUGCAUGAUUUUCAUAUGCACAUUUCAAUAAUAACGUUUUUAGUUUCUCAAAAUCAUUGUCAGGUGGAUUAAUCCUAAAAAUCGGAAUUAAAAAGGAUUGUUUUUCAAGUGGAAAGUCAACCCAUUCUCCUGCCGUAUGGACACAUUGAUACACCUGGAUCGGUCGGCAGCUAAAGGAAUUAGCUCUGGGAACUCAUAGCUUGUAGGCCAAUGCAGCAGUAGGCCUAUCACUUUCCAAGUUUCUGACAGAGAUUUUCAUCUACAUUUCUUACAUUUGAAUGAUUUUAAGCACACGCUCUUAUCCAGAGCGGCUUACAUCUCCAGAUAGUUUAGUGGACCAGUCAUAGUCAGUCCAUUCAUCUCCAGAUAGCUAGGUGGACCAGUCAUAGUCAGUCCAUUCAUCUCCAGAUAGCUAGGUGGACCAGUCAGUCCAUUCAUCUCCAGAUAGCUAGGUGGACCAGUCAUAGUCAGUCCAUUCAUCUUCAGAUAGCUAGGUGGACCAGUCAUAGUCAGUACAUUCAUCUCCAGAUAGCUAGGUGGACCAGUCAUAGUCAGUCCAUUCAUCACCAGAUAGUUAGGUGGACCAGUCAGUCCAUUCAUCUCCAGAUAGCUAGGUGGACCAGUCAUAGUCAGUCCAUUCAUCUCCAGAUAGUUAGGUGGACCAGUCAGUCCAUUCAUCUCCAGAUAGCUAGGUGGACCAGUCAUAGUCAGUCCAUUCAUCUCCAGAUAGCUAGGUGGACCAG